rnacentral:lncRNA from 1 species
UAGGGAAAAUGUGUUGUUUUAUGUUUCACUUUGCUUUCUGUUCUUGAAUUCACCUAGAUGCCCAUAGACAAUGAAAGAUACAGCAGUUCUUCAGAGAACAAGGGAUAUCUGAACUUACAGCAGGAAGUUGAGUUCUAGCUAUGGUUGCUGUGGUCCCCCUUAAUGAAGUGAUCUCAGCUGUGCCACCUUUUUGCUCCCACCACAGGGUCUCUGAGAGGCAAUGAACUGCCCAGAAGCCCACCCAGGGCUUCUCUACCUCAUUUAGUUGGGUCUUCUGCUUAGCAAUGUUCUCCCUCUCCUGAUGGGGAGGGUAAAUAGCUAAAACUAUUCAUCAUUUAGGGCAAAUAGCUAGAACUAUUCAUCAGGCCUCUGUCGGGUGUUUCGAGGAUUUAGGUUCAAUGCUGAGGACAAGUCUCAUUGCAGACAUAAAGCUUGGGGCUUUGGGGCCCUCACAGCAGGCAGCUAUGAUGCAGGUCUAAGUUAUUACUCUGGUUGAGUCAUUAAAGAUUUUGAAAUUGAAGCUAUUUGUACCCCUGCCAAGCACAGCUCUCUGGUCUGGAAGGAUCUUAUCUAUGUCCUGAACAAGUGAGUAAUUCUCUGCCCACACUGUGCUUCAUCUGUAGGCAGGGUCCAACUACCUGUGUAAAUAGCCUGAUGGGGCAGAGAUUUGGCAAGCCAUCCUGCAUAUUUAUGUGGCCCCCAGGCCUCCACCUGCAUACUUGUUAGUCUAAUAUCCCACGAGCUGGUCCUAAAUUGAAUUAACCUAGCAUAAAAGGAUAUUACUCCAGGCUGGGUCGUGGUUCUUGUCUGGAGAAUUUUGGUGAUCUUCAAUGUCCGAGAUAUCUGCAGUCUGUAUUCAUUGUUCUCCUAGGCAUGGGCACACUGCCAUAGGUCACACUUGAUCUUUGCCCUAUUGAUGCUCACAGUUUGGAGGUGCAAGUAGAUCUGUGGCCAGUUAAUAAUCUUCCAAUGUGCCUGGUCUGCACUUCUAAAAUUUUCCAGUGAAGAUGGGACCACAGAGAUGGCAUCUAAGAUGGCUGGCCCAGAGUAGGC